UCCGUUUUGUCAACGGCAGUCUCGCUAGAGUGCUCUUGCGUAGCAACUAACAAUAAGGGUUGCGCUCGUUGCGGGACUUAACCCAACAUCUCACGACACGAGCUGACGACAACCAUGCACCACCUGUCUCAACUUUCCCCGAAGGGCACCUAAUGCAUCUCUGCUUCGUUAGUUGGAUGUCAAACCCUGGUAAGGUUCUUCGCGUUGCUUCGAAUUAAACCACAUAAUCCACUGCUUGUGCGGGCCCCCGUCAAUUCCUUUGAGUUUCAACCUUGCGGCCGUACUCCCCAGGUGGAAUACUUAUUGUGUUAACUCCGGCACGGAGGGGGUUAGUCCCCCCACACCUAGUAUUCAUCGUUUACAGCGUGGACUAC
rnacentral:misc_RNA from 1 species